rnacentral:rRNA from 1 species
UACGGGGGGGGCAAGCGUUGUUCGGAAUUACUGGGCGUAAAGGGCUCGUAGGCGGCCAACUAAGUCGGACGUGAAAUCCCUCGGCUUAACCGGGGAACUGCGUCCGAUACUGGAUGGCUUGAGUUUGGGAGAGGGAUGCGGAAUUCCAGGUGUAGCGGUGAAAUGCGUAGAUAUCGGGAGGAACACCUGUGGCGAAAGCGGCUCACUGGACCAUUACUGACGCUGAUGCUCGAAAGCUAGGGGAGCAAACAGG